rnacentral:lncRNA from 1 species
CAAGGAUAAACAUGAAGCAUGGAUAAUUAAAUAUGACAUAAUUAGUCCAAAUAAUUAUUCAAACUUGAAACAUAUAAACUUCCACAUCCAAAUGAUAAAGACAAAUGUUUCACCAACCAUUCCCAUGGCAAUCACAUAAUUAAUGUUUCAAAAACAUCCAAAUAAAUUAUCCAACAUGUUGAGAUAAAUAGGAGUGUAACCAUCCAAUGUAGCAUUUAAUGCUUUAGGUAGUCCAUCCAUGUGGUCACCUCCUCAGCCAAGAUCCUACUCAUCUUUAUCUUUACUCCCUGCAAUAUGUUAAACAUAUGAGAACCAACUUUGAGGUAUCAUAUACCUUUAAUAUAUAAAGUAGAAUUAUUUAGCAAAUGGUACUUGAAUCAGAAACUUCAAUAAGCUUCUUUUUCUUGCUCACAGUAGCUAGGUACUCCUUGUAGUUCUUCCUCCAAUGCCCAAGUUUGCCACAAUGAUGGCAAAUGUCCUUCUCUUUGUCCUUUUUGACACCUCCCUUAGGCUUCAAGGCCUUCUCAUUUUGGGAUUUUACUUUCUUCCCUUUUUGGGCUUUCUUCUUCUGUUGCUUCGUAUGAGCCUUGGAAGAAGAAACAAGAAGCAAUGAUCCCUUAUCUUUCUUGAUGGACCUCUCUAUCGUGUCUAGCAUAUUUAGAAGUUCAGGAAGAAUGGCUUCCAAUCGAUUCAUAUGAAAGUUCAACACAAACUGACUAAAGCUAUUAGGAAGAGAUUGUAGAACUAAGUCUAUACUUAGCUCAUAAUUCAUUGCUAAUCCCAAUUGUCCAAGUCUCUCGAUGAGUCCAAUCAUCUUCAACACAUGGGGUCUAACAGAACUACCUUCUGCCAUCGUGCAUCGAAAUAGCUCUUUAGAGAUCUCAUAUCUCUCAGUGCGCCCCUCCUUAUCGAACAGUUCUCUAUGGUGAAGAAUCAUGGAUUGGACAUCCAUAUGUUCAUACUGCUUUUGAAGCUCAAGGGUCAUACUGGCUAGCAUCACGCAUGCUGCCUGAUCAUCGUCAUCUUUAUGACGUUGAUAUGCUUCCUUAUCCUCAGCACUAACAUUAGUAGUAGGGACUGGUGGAAUAGGAGUUUCAAGGACAUAGGAUUUUUUCUCCUGUUUCAAGACGAUCUUAAGGUUCCGAAACUAAUCGAGGAAGUUGGGGCUAGUGAGUUUAUUUGCAUCCAAGAUGCUCCGCAAUGACAGAUUAUUAGCCAUGUAUAUAAAUUAGGCCUAAAUAGAUAAAAUAAAGCAAUAAGUAAACAUCAUGCAUAAACUAUUUAAAACAAGGUUUUAAAAUUUUAAAUUGUUCUCCCACUAUUUUCUACAAGAUGAUAACUCUUCAUAUCACCUCGAGAGAUCUCUACUAGGAUUCUCUUAGUGGGCUAGGAUCCCAUCCAUAUAGUCAUGGACUUGAGUGUGCUCAACAAACCAUGAUAGAUAGAUUAGGUAGGUAAUUGAGCUUACCAAUUGUAUCUCUAUACAACUCCUAGAUCAGCUAGGCGACAACACAUUAUCUAAACAUAUCAUAUAUGUUUCGCCUAGCCUUUGCCUCUAGUUUCCAUAAUAAUCAAGUUUCCAAGCAUCCAGAUUUUAUGAAACUAGUUGACUAAGACCCACCAAUAGCUCAAACAUACUUGUGUAAAAGUGUGGCCUUGAGUGUGCUUAACAAGCCUCCGAUUAAAAAAGUAGCCAAGUUAUCUUGCUAUAUGGUGGAAGGCAACUUAAUCAUACGUGGUAUGUGUUGGCUCCAUUAGUUUUUGAUGAUAAUAAAACAUUCUCAUUUAUUUGUGUCUAAUAUCUUUACUUGAGUGUGCAGGAAAAUUAAUAUAUGAAAUUAAUUAUUUAACUCUUCAAAGAGUAUAUCAAGAGAAAAAGAGGGAUAAAAAUAACAAGAUGUAACUGUCUAACAAGGAGGAAGCCUAUUGGUGAAACAAGGAAGAAUGUUGGUUGACCAAGUUUUAAGUUGGAGGAAUGACAGGUUGAAGAGUUUGAGAAAUAGAACCAACUUAGUCGACCAAGUCAGUCGACUAAGUGCUCUCUGCCAGAAUCUGUAACCUGAAACAGAACCAACUUAGUCGACCAAGUCAGUCGACUAAGAACUCUCUAUCUGCAAAUUGAACCAGAGCACUACAAGACAAAUUAACGGCUAGAACUCAUCCUCAACUGUUUCCAACGGGUAUAAAAUUGCCAAACUGCCAUUAGAGUUGCAUCUCCAAGUAUAAAAGUGUGAAACCUUGUUAAGCUCGAUUAAAAGACGGUAUUAUACCGAGUGGUACAACUAAGUUAAAUCGAGCCUUGAACUAGUUCAAAUAGAAAUUCUAAGAGGAAUUUGAAAAUUUUGAAACCCACAGAAUGGCUUAGAAUAGUGAUUUGGAGUUCAAGGUCCAGUUUGGAGUCCAUCAGGAAAAUUGACCGAUUAGGGACAAAACGGUCAUUUUACCAUUUGAUGAUAAAAUGGGGAUUUUUAGCCAAGAUUUGAUCACAUUUGACCAAAAGUAAUUAUAUGAAAUAUAAUUAUGAUUAUUGGAGUAUAAAAUGAUGUUUACUAGUGAAAUAAAUUAUGAUUCCUGGUAUUUUUGGAGUACAAGGGCAAAAUGAUAAUUUUGCCACUAGAGGACUAAACGGGAAUUUUUUUAAAAUGAGUUUUUGCCCCAUAUGGUUAAUAUUAAUCAAUGUUAGUGUUAUUUGAGGUUGAAAAGUAGAAAUAAUUUGAUUUCGGUACAUUUCGGAGUAUAGGGGCAAAAUCGUAAUUUUUUCACUCCGGGGGCAAAUCGGUAAAUUUUUCGCCCCAACACUUGUCAAGGCCAAGGGAUUUUAUUCAUUCCUGUAAAUGGAUAAACAUGAGAAAUGUGUGGUGGAGAGAGAUUGCUUAAUGGCUAAGUAUGACACAUGGACCAAUGGAAUGGUGACAUGUGUCAAAAUCUCAUCCAUUCAUUAUUUUCUUUAUAAAAGGCAUAAAAAUCAGCCCAUUUCUCCCAUAGUGAUCAGCCAAACCAGAAGAGAAGAGAAACCAAGGAAGAACAAGCCCUAGGUGGGAAAAAUCAAAGAGAAAGUGUUGGAAUUCAAGGAAACAAGCUAGGUAAGUUAAAAUUUCUUUAAUUCUCCUUGAUACCUAGCUUACCCAUGCUUUUGUUCUUGAUUUCCAUGGUUGAAUAUUGAGUUAUCAUGAUGAAUUCAAUUCUGAAAAAUGGGUAUGGAAGAGGAAUUGUUGUUGGAAUAAUUUGAUUUUAGACUAUGUUAGUGUUUAGGGAUAGUUAAGCAUGGUUAUGAACAAAAACACAAAAGAAAUAUUCAAUUUCUCUAGGGUUCCUUGUUGGUCGAACCAUGAGGGCUGAAUAUCAAUGGGGGAUUGUUUUUAUUUCAAGGAAAAUGGCUUGGAAAAUGAUGAAUUAAGGUGAAACGGUUAUGUAGAAAAAUUUUCGGUGCUAGUGCACCAAAUGAUCGAAUUUUUCUAUAAGGAACUGUGAGGGUUCUAAUGCUGAAUUUGGCUUUAUUUAAAUGGUAUGCGGUAAAUUAAGGUAUUAGGGGAGAAAUGGAUUAAUUUGGAGUGAAAUUGGAUGCACUGGCCAACUUAUCGGAUGAAAAAUCGACUUAGGCCAGUAUUGAGUCUAGAUGGCUACCCAUGCAUUUUUCAUUUCAUAUCAUAUAUAUAUCGAGCUUGAAAUAGCCUCUGACUGUUAGACACAAUUUAAUUGGAAUAUGUGUCAUGGAUUAUGGCUAGGUGGUGAGCCAUUGGAUACGGGUAAAGGACUGUACCCGCGGACUAAAAAUAAGAGUAUUUCUACUCCUAAUACAGGUGAGUGGACUUGCAUUUCAAACUUAUUUUGGGGAAUAUGAAAGAUUCUAUCCAACUUGUCUUAAAAAAUGUACCUUGGGAACAAGCUUUUAGUAAAAUGAUUUUAUAUUGUGAAAAUGUGCUAUACAAUGAUUUAUGUGUUAUCACAAUAUGAUAAAAUGCAUGAUAUGCAUUGGAUGCUUCUUUGCAUGUUGAUUUGGACCCGGUUAUGUGCGAGUAGGAGUGCAUAUAAGCCGUUGCUGACCCGGCUAUGUGAGAGUAGGAGUGCACAUAAGCCAUUGCUGACCCGGCUAUGUACGAGUAGGAGUGAACAUAAGCCGUUGCUGACCCGGCUAUGUACGAGUAGGAGUGCACAUAAGCUGUUGCUAACCCUACUAUGUGCGAAUAGGAGUGCACAUAAGCCGUUGCUGUCCCGGCUAUGUGCUAGUGGGAGUGCACAUAAGCCGUUGCUGACCCGGCUAUAUGUGAGUGGGAGUACGCAUAAGCCGUUUCAUAUGAGAUGAUGAUGAUGGGAUGGUGUGCAUGAUGAUGAUGAUGGGAUGGUGUGCAUGUUGAUGAUGGGUAUAUGGUUGUAAAUGCAAAUAUGUAAGCAUUUGUUUUGCUGGAAUUUGGAAGUUUACAUGUGUUACAUGUUGCUAUUGUUAUUUUAGCAGGAUGACUUGUUUUAAGUGAAAAAUGAGACUUUUUCCUUGAUGUUCUGGUUCUCGCUGCAGCGAGAAUGAAGUUCGCUACAGCGAGAAACUUUCUAUCCAUUUUGCUAACUUGUGGGUUUUUGCCAUACAUCCCAUUUCUUUGGUACCAUAGUUGAGCAUGGAUUUUUGUAAAGUGAUUUACUCAUGUGGGGUUUACAUGAGGGGUUUAAAGGAGCUAAAACAAUUGCAUGGUUUUGAGAAAAUGAAUGCAUCAUGAUUUCGAUAAGCAUUCCUUAUGGUAUGCUUGUUCCCUUCUUGUUCACUCAUUGAAUAUUGUACUCACGUUUUAUAAAAAAUUCAUGUUUACAGAUCAGGUGACUAUUGGACCCCAGAUCGAGGAGUCCCCGUAGUGCAUUUCCUGGGUAUGUGUCUGGCAUUCGAUAGUAAUCCCUUUUAUUGUAAAUGUCUCCGCUGGAAGUCAUGGGUCCUUUUGUAUUGUGAAUACAAUCUAAUAAUGUGAAUAUGUGUAUGCAAUGUAAAUUGCUAAAUACAUGACUGGUAUAGUACAUGUAUAUCAUUAUCGAUAAUGCCAUUGUGUUUUGGCUAUGUUCACACCCGUGACAAGGUGUGUGUGUAUGCAUGAUAUGAUAAAUUUGUUAAGGAAAAGUAAAUGGAUAGGCUUGCUUGGGUUUAGUGAGCUAUGCUCAUUGAGCUCAAGUGCCGGUCAUGGCCCGGGAAAUUGGGUCGUGACAAAAAGGGUCUUCCAACAAUUAGAAACAAGUUUUUAGAAGCCUUGAAUGAGAUUUGAGCUAUAAAAAGUUAAAAAAACCAGAAAAUCUUCACUGCACUUGUCUGCACUUGAACGCCUACUCUUUGCAUUUGUAUUUUGCACUCAAUCUUCUAUCAAUCAGAUCAACUAGUGAUCAUAGGUACUUUCUUUUACUACUUUUCUUAUAUUCUUAGAGUGAGGAAGUCACUCUAAGGAGUUAUUCAAGCUUGGGAUAGCUUGAUUGUUGUAGGUUGUGGUUGAGCCUUGGAAAAACCACUUUGGGUUUUAGUUUAGCCCGUGAAAAACUAGUGUAAAAGGUUUUGGCUGAGCCUUAAAAAGUCAUUGUAAAGCUUGGUGAAAGCUUAUGAAUUUCACCAGUUCUUAGUGGAUUUGUUGGAAAAAUCCUAGGUUGGAUAAUCAAGGUAGUGGAUGUAGGUCUUGGACCGAACCACUAUAAAUUACUGCGCAUUAUGUACUCUGGUUUUAUUUUCUUUGUUCUAAAAAUUAAUUUCUCAUCUUGUUAAGAGCCGAGUUGUGCUAUUCACCCCCCUCUAGCAUAUUUUAUUGGGACCAACAAGUGGUAUCAGAGCUAGUUCCCUGUUAUUAAGGUCUAACACCCUUGGGAAGAUCCAAAUGGCUCUCCAAAAAUCUAUAGUUGCUAAGGGACAGUCCAUAAACAGACCACCUCUAUUUGAUGGCUCAAAUUACCCCUAUUGGAGUAUUAGAAUGUCAAUUUAUGUAAGGGCAAUAGAUUAUGAGAUGUGGGAUGUCAUGACCGAUGGUCUUUUCAUUUCACUGAUUAAAAAUUUGGUCAAUGGUAAGAAAACUCCUAAGGAUAGAAAUAAAUGGACAACAACUGAAAUGAAGAGAGCAUAAAUCAACUCUAAGGCCAUGCACACUCUCAUUUGUGCACUUGGUUAUAGAGAAUACGAUAAAGUGUCCAUGUGCAAAAGUGCCAAGGAAAUUUGACAAAAAUUAGAAGAGUUAUAUGGAGAAACAAAGAUGCAAAAGGAAGAAAAGGCAAAGAAAAACAGAAAAUUGAAGAAGUCAAUGGUGGCUGCAACAUGGUCAGACAAUGAUACUUCAAGCUCAAAUGUUGAAGAAGAAAAAGCUGAAGAAUGAGCAAAUUUAUGUCUAAUGGCCAAAGAAGAUGAAUUUGAGGUAUCUUCAUCUCCUUGUGAUAUUUCAAUUUAUGAGUUUCAAGAAGAAUAUGAAAGUCUCUAUGAUGAGUUUGAAAAACUUGUAUCAAAAUAUAAAACCUUGAAAAGAAAAGCUACAUCUCUUGAGAUUGAUUUGCAAAAGAUAAAACAUGAUUUCAACUCUAUUUUUGAACAAAGAAAUUUUCUGCAAAUUGAAUUGGAACAUUCAAAAGUAGAUUUUGAAACUUUAAAAUUGGAAUUGGAAAACAAAACUGAAGCCUUACAAAAGGUAAGUGAAGAAAAUGCUGCACUCGAAAGUUUGAAAAAUGAAACUUCAAAAAGAGACACAUACUUCAAGAAAAAUUUUGUUAAUGCAUCAUCUAGACGUUAUAUUUGUGAUAGAAUUGGUCAUUUAUCCUAUGACUGCUAUAGAAAAAGAAGUAUGCAGAAAAUAAGAAGAAUUUGGGUUCCAAAAGGAUCCUACAUUGCUACUAACCUUCAAGGACCCAUCAAAGUAUGGGCACCUAUUAAGAAAAAUUAAAAAUCUGUCUUGUAGGUUGAGCUGCACUUAAAAGAGACAUGUUCAAGAGCUCAACUCAAGAAGAAGCAGCCUUGGUACAUGGACAGUGGUUGCUCACGACACAUGACAGGAGAUGAAAUGUUAUUUGCUCAGCUGGACAAAAGAAAGGGAGGUACCGUAUCCUUUGGUGAUGAUUCAAAAGGUAGAAUUCAUGGUAUAGGAACGGUUGGUUAGAACUCCCAAACUCAAAUAAGUAAUGUGUUAUUGGUUAAUGGUUUGAAGCAUAAUUUAUUGAGCAUUAGUCAAUUAUGUGACAAAAGAUUUAAAGUAUGUUUUGAUUCAAAUAAGUGUGUAGUAAUAGACAUAGGCACAAACAAAGUCUCAUUUAUAGGAAAAAGAUUGAAGAAUAUGUAUGUCGUUUUUCUUGAGGAUCUUGAAAUAGAUAGUGAAAUAUGUCUUGUUGCAAAUGAUAGCUGGUUAUGGCAUAGGAGAUUAGGACAUGUAAGCUUGCAUACUAUGUCAAAAUUGAUUAGAAAGAGCUUAGUUGUUGGGCUGUCGAAUUUAAAACUUGAAAAUGAUAAAAUAUGUGAUGCUUGCCAACUAGGAAAACAAGUUAGAACAUCCUUCAAGACUAAGAAGAUUGUGUCAACAUCUAGACCUCUUGAAUUAUUACACAUUGAUCUAUUUGGUCCAAUAAGCACAAUUAGUCUAGGAGGAAAAUCAUAUGGCUUUGUAAUAGUUGAUGACUAUUCUAGAUAUACUUGGGUUUAUUUUCUUGCUCAUAAGAAUGAUGCUCUAUAAGUUUUUAUAAGUCAUUGUAGUAAAGUAGAGAAUGAAAAAGGACUAGCCAUAGUUAGCAUAAGGAGAUCAUGGAGGAGAAUUUGAAAAUGAUGAAUUUGAGAAAUUUUGCAAUGAAAAUGGAUUGGAUCACAAUUUCUCUACACCUAGAACACCCCAGCAAAAUGGAGUGGCAAAGAGGAAAAAUCGAACCUUAAAAGAAAUGGCUAGAACUAUGUUAUGUGAGAAUAACCUACCAAAAUAUUUUUGGGCUGAGGUUGUGCACACAACAGCUUACAUACUUAAUAGAGUCUCAAUAAGACCCAUGAUAUCUAAAACACCAUAUGAACUUUACAAGGGUAGGAAAUAGAACAUUUCUCACUUUAGAAGUUUUGGCUAUAAAUGUUUUGUAUUGAACAAUGGAAAAUAGCCCCUAGGAAAGUUUGAUGCAAAAAGUGAUAAGGCAAUAUUUUUAGGAUAUGCAUUAAACUCUAAGGCUUAUAGAGUUUUCAACAAAAGGACUCUAGAUGUUAAAGAAUCAAUCCAUGUAGUUUUUGAUGAGUCAAAUGAUUUACAAAAGGAAAGUCAUGUUGAUGAUGAUGAUGUAAAAAUCCUAAAAAACCAAAUGGAAGAAAUGAGCCUAGAGAACAAUAAGAAUAAUGAAGAAAGGUCAUCUAGAAGAGAAAAUGAAACUCCACCUUUAGAAGAUCUUCAAAGAAUAGAAAAUCAGCAUAGUGAUCUUCUAAGAAGUUGGAGAUUUGUAAAAGACCAUCCACAAGAGCAAAUCAUAGGUGACCUUUCUCAAGGUGUCAAAACUAGAAGAGCAACUAAGGAGACUUGUGAAUUUUCAGCUUUCCUAUCUCAAAUUGAACCUAAAAACUUUGAAAAAGCUAAAAAUAAGGAAAGUUGGAUAAUGGCCAUGCAAGAGGAACUUGACCAAUUCAAAAGAAAUCAUGUAUGGUCACUAGUACCUAGACCUUCAAAUCACCCUAUUGUUGGCACAAAAUGGGUGUUUAGAAAUAAGGUAGAUGAGUAAGGAAAUGUAGUUAGAAAUAAAGCUAGGUUAGUAGCCCAAGGAUGCAACCAAGAGGAAAGAAUAGACUAUGAUGAAACCUUUACACCGGUUGCUAGAAUUGAAGCCAUAAGGUUGUUGUUAGCUUUUGCAUGCUUCAUGAAUUUCAAAUUGUACCAAAUGGAUGUAAAAAAUGCAUUUUUAAAUGGAUUCAUUCAAGAGGAAGUAUAUGUUGAAUAACCACUAGGUUUUAAAGAUUUUGAAAAACCAUAUCAUGUUUUCAAACUCCACAAAGCCUUGUAUGGAUUGAAACAAGCUUUUAGAGCUUGGUAUGAGAGGCUUUCAAAAUUUCUGGUUGAAAAAGGUUAUGAUAGAGGCAGCAUUGAUACUACUUUGUUUAUUAAAAGAUGUUUAAAUGAUUUAAUUGUUGUGCAAAUAUAUGUGGAUAACAUUGUAUUUGGUGCAACUAAUGAGGCUUUAUGUAAGAACUUUGCUAAAAAAAUGUAGGGUGAAUUUGAGGUGAGCAUGAUAGGAGAGUUGAAGUACUUUCUUGGUCUUCAAAUUAAACAAAGUGAGGAAGGAAUCUUCAUCAACCAAGAAAGGUACACUCAAGAUAUGCUCAAAAAGUUUGAUAUGCUAAAGCUAAAACCAAUCUUCACACCAAUGAGUCCAUCGACAAGACUUGAUCUUAAUGAAAAAGGAAAGAAUGUAGAUCAAAAGCUGUAUAGAGGUAUGAUCGGUUUAUUACUUUACUUAAUAGCAAGCAGACCAGAUAUUCAGUUUAGUGUGUGUUUGUGUGCUAGAUUUCAGUCACAACCUAAAGAAUCACACUUAAUAGCUGUUAAGAGAAUUUUUAGAUACAUCUUAGAAACUCAAACUUUAGGAUUAUGGUAUUCUAGAGAAUUAUCAUUUGAUCUUGUAGGAUAUUCGGAUGCUGAUUUUGCUUGCAGCAAAACUGACAGGGAAAGUGCUAGUGGAACAUGCCAAUUUCUAGGUAGCAUGCUUGUGUCAUGGUCCAGUAAGAAACAAAGUUCAGUAGCUUUAUCUAUAGUUGAAGCAGAGUAUAUAUCACUAGGUAGUUGUUGUGCACAAAUUCUUUGGAUUAAACAACAAUUGAAAGACUGUGGAAUGACUAUGCAUAACAUACCAAUAUACUGUGAUAACACAAGUGCAAUUAAUAUAUUAAAAAAUCCUGUGCAAUACUCUAGAACAAAACACAUUAAGAUUAGACAUCAUUUUGUUAGAAACCAUGUAGUGAAAAAUGAUGUUAAAAUUGAAUUUGUGAAUACUUUGCAUCAACUAGCUAAUUUUUUUACUAAACUACUGAAUAAAGAUAGAUUCUGUGAAAUUAGAAGAAAUCUAGGUAUGAUUAGUUAGCAGGAAUUAUGAGAAAACCUUUGGUUCAUGAACAUGAAACAAAAUGCAUUUAGUCGACUAAAGUGAAUCUUAGUCAACUAAGAUUAUUUUGGUAACAUUAAAUACUAAGACUAAGUGAAUAAAAUAAGAGCAAGAGGAAUAAAAUAAUGGGAAGAAACUACCUACCGGGUAAUAAAGAAAGAAGAAAUGUUUCGUGAGGUGAAUAACUAAAAUUUAGAGGGAGUUUUGAAAUUUUGAGCAAAUAAAAUAGGGCAAUAUUUAAGGGGGAGUUGAACGGUUUCUUUAAGAGGAAUUAAAAAUGACUGACAACUUCUCUUUCUCCAUUUUUCUCUCCUCUGAAACCCGAGCCUUUGAAACUGAAACCCAUCUCUUCACAUUUUCUUCUAAAACUAUUUAAACCCUUCGCCAUUUAGACAAAACCCCUGUCAGACAAAUUCUUGAAUCAGAAUGGGGAGAUCUCCACAGAGCAAAGAAAUCGUAGAAAAUAAGAAAGGGAAGAGACCACUGGAAGAAGGGAUAGAAAUGGAAAGUCUGAAGAAGAAACAAAAAAUCAUGUUUGUGUCAGUGAAAGAGAUAUCAAAGAAACUAAAAGAGAAGAAGCAGAAAAUGGGAAAGAAGAAGGACAAGGAACCUACACUCAAGAAAGAUACUAGUUCCUCGUCUUUUAAGUUUAGAAAUAGAUUGCAUGAACCGAGGUUCAAAAAUAUUGAGAAUGCACCAAUUUCCUAUGGCAAAUAUAUUGACUAGAAAGUUUUGAUGAAAACUUAGAGAUUCGGACUAGUUUAUCCGACUAUUUUGAUGAACUAAAACUGAAAGGAUAUAGCAUCUUUAAGAAUAAAUCCUAUAGUGCAAGUCUGGUAAAGGAAUUCUAUUCUGGCAUUGCUUUAAAAGAAAAGGAAUUAGAGGAUUCUAAUGAUUAUGUCGAAGAUGGUCUAAAUGUAUAUUUAAAUGGGAAAGAAUUUGUUGUCAUUGUUGAGGAUUUAGGAAGUUUACUAAAAAUCGAGUGUGAAGAAGGUGAGUAUGAGUUCCCAGAAAAGUAUGAUCCAUCCUCAUUAUGGGAAAUCAUCACUGGGAGAAAGGAAAAGUAUUCAUCAAAGAGUAAUUCAGGACUAAUAAUCAGCCCCCAAAUUAGGAUUUUACACUACUUUAUAGCAGCAAACAUUCAAGGCAGAAGUGGAAGUUUGAGUUACGUCAGCCUUCAGGAUCUUUGGCUGAUGGAACAUGCCUUCAAUGGAGUUUCUCUGAAUGUUGGAAGGUUUAUGAUUGAAAAAAUGAGAGGAGCUUGUAGUCUUGAUAAGAUCAACCUGCCUUAUGGGAAUGUCAUCACAUCUCUUGUGCAAAAAAAGGGAGUUUGGGCAAAGAGGUAUGAUAUGGACUUGGUAAAACCUAGAGAUCAAGCUAUUUAUUAUGGGAGCUUAGUUAAAAUGGGGUAUAUGCUCGAUGGGGAAAGGUUCAUUAAGACCCCCAAGACUGGUCCAAGAAAAGAACACAACCUACCUGCUCAACUUGAAGGAGCCUCUUCUAGAUUCUCAAAUGAAGUAAUUUUUAAUUUGCUCAUGAGGAUCGAUGGAAAGUUGACUGACCAAGGAGAAAAGCUAUAAAAAAUUGAAGAGAAAAUCACUGAGUUGGAAAACAAGCUGAAGGAGAAGGAAAACAUGCCAUUUGAACCUGUGGCUGCAAAUAACUCUGUAACAUUUAGCACUGCACCAACACAGCAAGGUGCUGAAGGUUCAGCUAAGCCAGUAGAAAAAUUUGCUCCUCAUGUUAGAAGUUAUGGCAUUCAAGUUGAAGGUUCCACCUACAAAUCUGCCAGUCCUGUUCUGCAGACUAAAGACUCUCACUAUGGGGAUGAUCAGCCAACCAAGACACCCUCUCCUAAACUUCAAAGCAAAAAUGAAUCAGAACAAGGGACUGAAGUGGUUGGUUCAGAAACAGAGAAACACCAGGCUUCUCCUCCAAAUUCAGAGGAAGUUUCCGUUAUGGAUGUCUUCCACCAAAUGGUUAAGGAGGGACAAGCUAAAAAAGACACAACCAGGACAGAAACUCAAAAAGAUGGUGGAGAUGUAGGAUAAGGAAAAAAACCUGCAUCAGCUCCUAAAGUAAAGGCAAAAUCAGGGAAAUAAAAGCCACUACAGCACCAUCAACUGAGGCAAAACUACCAACCAAAGGAAAAAAGACUAUGGCCACCAAGACAGCUUUUCUCAAGAGAAGAAAGUCUUUCAGGUUGGUAGAGAGAUCCAAACCAGUUUCAGUCUCUUCUCCUCAAAGUCCAAUCCUUGUCUCAGACAAGUCCUCAUCAGAACCUUCCCUUAGAAAGUCAUCACCUUUCCGAGAGCCCUCUCCUUUUCCUCUAAACCUUUUCUAUGGCACUGAAUCCUCAACCUCUGACACAUCAGAUGAAUAGAAGCCCCUUCUUUUGAUGUUGACAAAAAGGGGGAGUAGAAUGGCAGAACUAGGGGUGCAGGAACCAGAGAAUAAAUUUAAAAAAAAAAUGUUAGGGUGGAGGGACCAAGAACCUAGGAAAGAAAAGAUAGUAGAACCAGGAGUAGGAACUUAGAAAAAUAGGAGAUAAGAAGCAAAAUAGUCCAGGGGCAAUUUCAGAAUAUAUUUUGAUUAAUUGCUAUUUGCGCCAUGAUGGCACUUGAACACUUAAGUUUAAUUCUAUUGUUUAUAUGGUUGUGUGUUAAACGUGAAUGCUGAUAUGUCUAUGUUGUCUAACUACUACAAAUUGAAGUCUGCUGAUAUUUUGAUAUCCUGGUAUUUUUACUAUCAUGAAUAAAAUCUGCUGAUGCUAUGCUGAUAUUGAUUUACAUCCUAAUAAAUGAUUUUCAAUAUGGCAUUAAAAAUAACUUCUAUUUAUAAAUAGAUAUAGAUGUUGUGUAUAGAAUGUCAAUUGAAUUAUGAAGGGAAUAGAUAAAAUCUGAUGACUGUAUGCUGUUGACAAAACUCUGCUGAAUUCUUUAUGAAAAAUCUGUCAACAUUCAUUGCUGUAAAUCAUUCUAGAUUUCUGCACAUGUAUAUACACAUAUAUAAUCUAAGUGUACAAUGUCAUUCUCUCUAUAUGACAAGAAUAAAAAUUGCUAGAAUAAAGUAAGCAAAAUAUGCACACACUAAAGGGGAGCAAUUCUCAUUUACUGCGAAAAACUAAAAAGAGUAAAAAAACACUAUGCUGUUAAUCAAGGAAUCUUUUGUCAUCAUCAAAAGAGGGAGAUUGUUGGCUCCAUUAGUUUUUAAUGAUAAUAAAACAUUCCCAUUUAUUUGUGUCUAAUAUCUUUACUUGAGUGUGCAGGAAAAUUAAUAUAUGAAAUUAAUUAUUUAACUCUUCAAAGAGUAUAUCAAGAGAAAAAGAGGGAUAAAAAGAAAACAAGAUGUAACUGUCUAACAAGGAGGAAGCCUAUUGGUGAAACAAGGAAGAAUGUUGGUGGACCAAGUUUCAAGUUGAAGGAAUCGCAGGCUGAAGAGUUUGAGAAACAAAACCAACUUAGUCGACCAAGUCAGUCGACUAAGUGCUCUCUGCUAGAAUCUACAACCUGAAACAGAACCAACUUAGUCGACCAAGUCAGUCGACUAAGAACUCUCUGUCUGCAAAUUGAACCAAAGCACUACAAGACAGAUUAACGAUUAGAACUCAUCCUCAACUAUUUCCAACGUAUAUAAAAUUGUCAAACUGCCAUCAGAGUUGCAUCUCUAAGUAUAAAAGGGUCUUCCAACAAUUAGAAACAAGUUUUUAGAAGCCUUGAAUGAGAUUUGAGCUAUAAAAAGUUAAAAAAACUAGAAAAUCUUCAUUGCACUUGUUUGCACUUGAACGCCUACUCUUUGCAUUUGUAUUUUGCACUCAAUCUUGUACCAAUCAGAUCAACCAGUGAUCAUAGAUACUUUCUUUUACUACUUUUCUUGUAUUCUUAGAGUGAGGAAGUCAUUCUAAGGAGUUAUUCAAGCUUGGGAUAGCUUGAUUGUUGUAGGUUGUGGUUAAGCCUUGGAAAAACCACUUUGGAUUUUAGUUUAGCCCAUGAAAAACUAGUGUAAAAGGUUUUUGUCACGACCCAAAACUCUCAUCGGGCCCGCGACAACCGCUGCGAAGUCUCGAUAGACACUCAUUACCACGAAUGCCGAUCGAAACCCCGCAAGGCUUAGCAUCAGUUUCUGCAUCUCCCCAAUGAGCGACAGUUAUUAAAUCUCACAUUUCAAGAAAUCGUAAGUCGUUUCCAAAUCAAAACAAUAAAAUAUUUUUUUUGGCUCACAAGAGCAUUUUCGUCAUUUUUUUUCAAAAAUAUCGAAACUUGCCAAAAACAUGGUGUAAAAGAUAAAUAUGUUCAUACAUACUUUAAAUCAGAUAACUGAAGUAUAAAAUUACUUUUAUAAUGACACGUGGGCCCCCAACUGACCAAAAAGGUGUAGGGCUACGAACCCUUACUUUCUAGAAUGCAACUCCGAGUUAAUUAUCGUCUUAAUCAACUAUCAACAAACUAUCUUGAGCCUGAAAAAUGGAUAGGAAGAGGGGUGAAAUUAUGAUUACAUAAUCCUAGUGAAUAAACAGACACCAUCUAAACUAUCUAAAGGGAGUAAAUGGAGACGAAUUAAAAUAUUCUUUUCCAAUAUAUGUUUCAUAACAUAAAUAUUCAAUUUACUCAAUUAAUCAAUAUGGCUUAUAUAUCUCACAAAACUUGGCUCCUGCCAAAAUCAUUCCUGAGUAUGCCUUGGCCUAGGCAUCUGACCGAGACCACCAAGGCUAUUAAAUAUCUUUACAUCCGAAAUUCUAGCCAUGCCUUGGCGUUGGCUGAGUCUCACUCUCACGCGGUGGUCCACGUAAAGUGCACUCAAAAGCCCAACUCAGGAGAUACCCUACGCACCUCUACGACCGAUGUGAGAAUAUAAAGGAGUUUAUCGUGCCCCUCUAAUAAGCUGGUCCACAGAACCCUGCCACUGCAGUAGCUAAUCUUUAUUUUAUCUACCACCUGAUUUAUAAAAUCCUUAUCUGCAUGAUAUGGCAAUUUAUCGCAAUCUAACCUCUCAAGGCUGAAUACAUAGUAUAUAUAAUUUUAGAUACAAAUAUCGACUUUGCCAUUCAUGCUCACAUAUUGUUAUAAGCCAUAUAUUUUAAAACACAAUUUAUAACACAAGUAGGCAGUUCCAAUCACUCUAUUUUCAAAACCAAUAUUCAAUUUUCCAGAAAAUCUAUAAAAUCAUUUUAUAAAAUCAUAAUUUCUCCUAAAACAUAGCAAUUUACCUUUUAAACCCAUUUUUCAUAAAAUCAUACAAUUGUAUAAAACUACUCUAGAUAAUUAAGACAAUAAUAAGUUUACUCACAGUUUUAGGAGUCGAUAUACUCUUAAUCCCAGUCUUCAAGCACAAUCUCUGUACUUUUACUAGUGUAAUUUACUCACCACUUAUCCACAAUGUACAAUACAUAAUUCACCACAUCAAUGCUUGACCAUUAUAAAAUCAAUUCAGGCUCAGUGUAUAUGCAUGAUAUGAUAUGCAACUUAUCCGAUUAUCACUUAAAUGCGGUGCUGACCUAAUUCGACCUAUUACCCGAUUAAUGACAAUUGUGUCCGAUUUGGCUCCAAAUUGCUCCAUUUCAUUUCUAAUACCUCAAUUCACCAAACAUUAUUCAAAUAACACCAAUUUCAGCAUCAAAACCUUCCCAUUUCUUCACGAAAAAAUUCAGCCAUUAUAGUGCGCUAACACCGUGAUUUUUUCUACUUAAUUUUCUCACUAUUAUUCAUCAUUUUCUAAGCCAUUUCUCUUGAAAUAAUAACAAUCCAUCUCCCACACAUAUCAAGGAAGAUUCGGCCAUGAAGAUUCAUGGGGAAAAUGGAUUCCUUUCUUGUUGUUUUGCUUCUAAAUAUGCUAAACUAACUAAAAACACUAACAUAUCUUAAAAUAAAUUCAAUCCAACAGCUUUCUCUCUCCAUACCCAUUUUGACCAGCCAUGAAUUCAUAAUGAAAACAUGUAAUUUAACCAUGGAAAUUAAGGGAAAAUGCAUGGAUAAGGUAAAUCACUAGCAAAAUCAAAGAAAUUUUACCUUUGCUUGAUCAAAUCCUUGAAUUCCAACACUUUCUCUUUGAUUUUUCCCACCUAGGGUUUGUUCUUCCUUGGUUUCUCCUCUCUUCUGGUUUGGC